CUGAACUGGGAGAGUAGACACAGGAUUGGGGGAGGAUCUUAAGGGACAGAAUCAUCCUGAAUCAUCCUGAUGAAGGCAGGCACUGAGAGUUUGCUAGGAUACCUUCCCGUCGGCACUGUAACUCUGACAGAGAGAACACGUGGCAAAGACAUCCUAGGCAGGCAGAGCAGCCCAAGCUAAGGCCAGGAGAGGAGCCAACAGCUUUGGCGUCCAGAGGAGCUGUGUAUGGGACAACUUUCCAGCAUGGUGCAGGACCUGUGUGACAUGAGGUAUGGCCAGAUCAGAAUCUCCAAGGCCACAUGAGGUACUUCAAAGAACCCUGGCAGCCCACAAGGAAAUGUGUUUAUCUCAAAGGCACUUGGCAGAGCUAGUACAACCGGGGCCAAGCUGGUAGAAAGACCCCAUUUCUCAACCCAGCUUUCUACACGGAAUUAUUUAGAAGGAAACUUUAUCAGACGGCCUUCCAGCUCCACGUCAUCCAUCUUG